rnacentral:rRNA from 1 species
CAGUAGCCACGGGAACACCAGCACCUCGAGUGGUCAGGAGGUUUAUUGGGCCUAAAGCAUCCGUAGCCGGUUGCAUAAGUUUUCGGUUAAAUCUAUGCGCUUAACGUAUAGGCCGCCGAAAAUACUGUGCUGCUAGGGAGUGGGAGAGGUACACGGUACUCGAUAGGAAGGGGUAAAAUCCUUUGAUCUAUUGAUGACCACCUGUGGCGAAGGCGGUGUACCAGAACACGUUCGACGGUGAGGGAUGAAAGCUGGGGGAGCAAACCGGAUUAGAUACCCGUGUAGUCCCUGUCUCUUAUAC